AGCCCAGAGCCUGAAUCAGUGUGUGUGUUAGUGGAAGCGUCUGGAAAGGCGCGCGAUACAGGGUGACAGCCCCGUACACAAAAAUGCACAUAUUGUGAGCUCGAUGAGUAGGGCGGGACACGUGGUAUCCUGUCUGAAUAUGGGGGGACCAUCCUCCAAGGCUAAAUACUCCUGACUGACCGAUAGUGAACCAGUACCGUGAGGGAAAGGCGAAAAGAACCCCGGCGAGGGGAGUGAAAAAGAACCUGAAACCGUGUACGUACAAGCAGUGGGAGCACGCUUAGGCGUGUGACUGCGUACCUUUUGUAUAAUGGGUCAGCGACUUAUAUUCUGUAGCAAGGUUAACCGAAUAGGGGAGCCGAAGGGAAACCGAGUCUUAACUGGGCGUUAAGUUGCAGGGUAUAGACCCGAAACCCGGUGAUCUAGCCAUGGGCAGGUUGAAGGUUGGGUAACACUAACUGGAGGACCGAACCGACUAAUGUUGAAAAAUUAGCGGAUGACUUGUGGCUGGGGGUGAAAGGCCAAUCAAACCGGGAGAUAGCUGGUUCU
rnacentral:rRNA from 1 species